UUCUUGUCACAGAGCACAGCAAAUUCCAAAAUAAAAGUUAAUACAAAAAAAAAUAAUUCAGACCAAAGUCAGGCUCAGGCACCUCCUCCCUGGAACAGGGAAUUGAGUUUUCCCAAACCCUUGUGUAACUCAUCAUCUGUGAUAUGGCGAAAAGCGGGGAAAAAAGAAACGUCGUGGAUCUGAAUUUUUCAACGAUUCACACAAAAAGGGAACACUUCGCCAAGUUGCCGCGGUCCCUCAUCCUGCGCCUCUUCAAGGCAACCGUUGUGCCCCUUUGCGUGAACAGGAUCCCUCAACUGUUGCCCAGGCUGCGGCGAGGGAGAUGAAUAGGAUUCAACAUAACCCUUAUGCUGAUGAUGUCCCGUCCACCACAGCUGGGGCUCAAGCAACUCAGGCUGAGAAAACUCCCAAAAAAACACGAAAGUCUAGGCAAAAAACCAUCCCUGGGCACGGCACCCUCAGGGGACCUCCGUAUUUACGCAAAGGACGAUAACACCCAUAGAAAGAUAAUUAGGAUACUAAAUUCACUGCGGGUGCAGUACACCCGGGUAGUGGCAAAAAAUCUUGCAGAAUCUUGACCCAAGGAUACCAUCAACCAGACAUUUGAGAAGUUGGGACAUCGAGGGGUCAACCUGUACAACCCGAAGUCCAGGAGGAGCCCUUCCAUCAGCGCUGAUGGCGUCAGGCAGGAACCCCCCAACUAAAACGCCUAGUUUAUUGACCUCGGCCGGGCCCCUAACAACAAGGAAGCUCUCAAGAUCGCUAGAGUCUGCAGAUAACGGGUGAAAAUAAAGGUGCCCCGCAAAAUCAACAGUAUGCGCCGAGGACCACUGGAUAGGUAGCACAGAAUGCAACGCCAUGACCGAAGAUGAACUCACAUGCUCAAACUGCAGCGGAAAGCAUGCAGCAUGAUAGAUCCUGCAAGAUUUACGUCAUGAUGCUUAAAAAUCGCCAAUCCGCCGUGAACGUCUCUCCGCAAAACCAAGAUUCUACAAAGGUGAGAAAUGUCCCAUCAAUGGCAGUACAGCGCGGGUAAUCCUUCGCAUGCUUUCCGCCGAAACAAACCCAAACAGGCCUACGUUGAUAAUCGCCGGCAAAACUUAGGAAAGCAGGACUAUAACACCCAGUUCCCUCAGCUUCAAGGAAAACGCAGACCACCAACGCACAAGGUUUUCAUCCUCGCAAAUGGAUACGAACUCGAUGCCUCAGGUUCUUAUGGAUUUGCAGAGGUCAGUAGAGGGCCUCACAACGGCAGUAGCAGGUAUCCUGCAAUCCCUCGACAAACUGCGUAAAGCAAAUACACCCAUACCCUCGCAAUCUCUCAGAAGACCAUAAUGUUGUCAGACCUAAGGAUCGGAUUUGGGAACGCCCUUAGCCUGGCUCAUAACACUAAUGAGCUUGCUCUAUUAUUACAGCGUCAUAAUAUUGACAUCAUGUUAGUUGCUGAAACCUACUUAUACCCAGAAAAAAACUACACGCUCCACGAUCCAACAGGGCCAGAAGGCAGCUGUACUCGUUUGGAAGGAUAUUUCCCAUUACCACCAUCAUGCUGUGCAAUUGGGGUCGAUUCAGCUUGCGUUGGUCAUGGUUUCAACACUACGCGGAGAGAUCCUCAUUGCUGCAGCCUAUUUGCCCCCAUCGAUUCCCUGGUCUGGCACAGAUUUCGACAAUCUUCUGGCCCAACUGAGUAACAAAUUUAUCAUUGGAGGAGACUUUAAUGCGAAGCACAAACUUUGGGGCAAUCACAGAGGAGACCGCAGAGCGUUGGCACUGCAUGACGCCCUAACCAAUGGAUCGACUCAAAUUCUGGCGACAGGAAGUUCUACAGAUCCAUUCACUCCUGCCUAGACUUCUUCCUAUAUCGAUCUAUCCCCAGCAAUUAGCUUACCAUCCGUGAAGAGCAUUAUCUAAGCUCCGAUCACCUGCCUCUCAAUGCUACAUAAUCGAAAACUGCGCAGACAAUCUCAGAUAUGACGAGGCUAUUGAAACCGAACGCAAACAUUCCCCUGUUUGAGGACAUUCUGGGUAGCUCGCUAGACUUACACACAUAAGAACCGCUCAGGAUAUAGAUGCUGCAGUCCACACUCUUGUGAGCAAAGUCUGUGAUGCUUCUGCAGCUGCUACCACCUUUGGCCCUAAACUUCACCUAAACUUCGCUUUUCGGUAUGGAAGGCUGACGGCUCAUGGGCAAGAACAGCAAUGGACAGAAUCGGGAAGAAAGAUUCACACCAUUUCGGACGACAUCUACUAGAAGAGCAAUGAUGGUCACUGAAAGGCUAAAUGAGACCCACCAGAUUGAGCUCCCUGUGACGCCAAUCACUUUUCAAGAAAUCUCGGAGGACAUAAAGAAAUUCAAGUCCAAUAAGGCCCCUGGCGACGAUAGGAUUGAGAAUGUUGUGGCAAAGGCGCUACCCAUCAGAACGAUUCUGUAUAUGUUGCUAAUCUUUAACUCGUCGCUAAGAUUAUCAUACUUUCCCAAAGCCUGGAGAUGUGCCCACAUAAUUAUGUUGCCAAAACCAGGAAAGCCACCGGAAGUCCUCAACAACCAUAGACAAAUUAGUCUCUUUUCAACUGUUGACAAAAUGUUUGAGCGCUGCAUCCUACGAAGGAUACUGGAGUCGCCGAUGAUCAACAGACAUGUCAAACUACCAAUUUGGCUUCAGACUUCAGCACGGCACACCCAAACAACUGCAGCGUAGUGGAACACGUACAUUUGCGCCGAAUUCUACAGGAAGAAUGGAGGAAAAUCACCCCUUACCAGUGCGCACGUCCUUUAGAUUUAAUACCAAGGCGUUGCUCCACUUUUGUUAAAAAUACUAGGAAUACUGAGCAAAUUUUAACUUUUUUAACCAUUUUUUUCCAGGUGGCUGAUUGGUUAUUCUUUUAUUAAAACACUGACAUAUAGAACUGAUUUGAGACACAAAAUGGGAUCUGUAAAAUAUAAACUAUUCUUGAUUUUCGCUUAAA